GCGGAGAGGCGGGAAAGUGGAGAGGUGAGAAAAUACUUCCCUCACACACAAUCUUCAUCUGCCAUCAGUCUGUUGUGAGCAAUCCUGUGUGAGAACAUGACCCCCACACAGUCUCGCUGUCCUGAGGGGAGGAGAAAGGCUGAGAGAAGCUGAGGAGAGGCAGGCGCCAUGUUGGGCGCCUGAGGGUGCGUGAGGAGACAGCCGGCCAUGGCUGCUCCAGGUUGUGCACAACCUCAGAACUGUACUGCUGUUUUUUGCUUCAGAGGUCACCUCAAUGUCUUCCUCUCUUAAUGGCAGCCCAAGGAAAGCUGACACAGCUUCCAGCAUCCCAGGAGGAACUCAGAGCCCACUAAAAGUGCAAAAAGGCAGGAAUGGAUUUCCAGUGGGAAUGUGGGCUGAGGGGGCUGGAGAAAAUCUCCUUCCAUAUCCCACCAGAAAUGCCUUGGUCACAUCACUCAGCCCUGCUGGGAGCUCCGGGAGGUGAGAAAUGUCACUGAUGCAGGAAGGGAAAGGGCCAGUGCAUUUCAUGCUGCUGGCCCCCAGAUUUUUUCCAUCCAAUCUGGACACUCCAGGGAGAAUUUGCUGCAUCACAAGCUGGAAGCACUGAGAAGUCCUGACUGCUUUCCUGAAAAACAAUAAUUUUUGUUGCCUUCAGCCCAAUUAAUCCAGUAAUCAAUCCAGGAGCCUUUAUUUCCCCAUUUGACAUCUUACACUGGCAAGAAAAGCCGAAAUCCCUUGAAAUUCAGAAUGCUGAGAAGUGAAUGUGAGACGGACUACUCUGUUUUCAUUUCCCAAGCAUUGGCAUGCACUCUUCCUGGACUGGAUCAGCAUGAGUUCAUCAGAACAUGCCCAGGAUUCCUGUUCCUGAUGGCUCCACGAUGCAGGAUCUUGCUGAGAAGGAGCCCUCCUGGAGAAGGCUUCACAUCCAGGCUGUCACUGCAGCUCCUGGCAGUGCCAGCACCCCAGCUGCACAGAACUGCUGCAGGCACCAGCCAGGCACAGCAAUGGGAAGAGUUUGGAGAAGGGUUUGGAUCAGCCCCCUGCUCUCAGGGAGCAAGGAAUAGAAGGAAUUACCUGAAUUUUCAAGUCCAACUCGCAGGAAGUGUGGACAGCACAGAAUCCCAAGUGAUCCUGAUAAGAGGAGGGAUAUGUACAGAUAAAUCCUGGAAAGAGGUGAACAAAGAAUUCUAGAAGAGCAGGAUUUGCUUGGAUUUGCUUGGAUUUGCUGGUGACCAUCCCAGCCAGCUGAAUAAACAAGAUACACCUGAUUACAGGACAUGGCUCAGCCUGGAAGAAGGAGGAGGACAUGGACACUCAGCCCAUGACAGCAGGAAGUGUCCCACAGCUCCUAAAGCUUCAGCUGGCUGUGACUGAGGGAGGACUUUGGGACAGACAGUGGUAAGGAAAAAAGGGAAGUUCCUCUCUAAGUACACGGGGGGAAGGGAAGGAAUGACACAGUGAACAUUUCCACACAGAGAAUGAUGUAUUAAAGUUAGAUUAGAAUCCUUCUAGGAACUCAAUAUAUUAACAGCAGAAGAAAUUCAAUAAUGGACAACUUUAGAACUGAUAAAAGAACAUCACUUCUGCCAUAGCCCACAGCUAUGGGCUGGGGAACUCACUCCUACAUCUGGAGUUCAAGAAACAAUCAAAUUUCCAGAGAACUGGGCAUGUGCAUGGGUAAGAACACCCAGAUAGGAGGAUCACACUUUUGUGAUGUGUUAACUCCCACUUGGAUAUUGGGAACUCCACAGAAGUUUGCUUUGGCACACUGUGGUUCUCAGAAAUGGAAGAACAGGACAGCCCAGUCUCUGUGCAAUGGGACAAUUCCAACAGGAGUGAGGAGCCCACAACCAAAACCAGCUGGCCCUUCAGAUUUGGGAUAAAAAAAGGCCAUUUUGGUCUCUACAGAAUGCCUGUGCUUAUGCAAACACAGAUCUCUGCUGACUCACCCCUCCCAAGGAAAUGAAGCAUCAGCCCCUGAGCCAGCAGCAUCUGCCCCGUUCUGAGCGUGCAGCCCCAGCCACAGUCUGUGGUUAAAG